UCCCGUGUGGCUCAGUUGGUAGAGCAUGGGGUUUGCAAUGCCAGGGAUGUGGGUUCGAUUCCCACAGGGGAC
rfam:Salmo salar isolate Sally breed double haploid chromosome ssa15, whole genome shotgun sequence.